ACGAACGCUGGCGGCGUGCUUAACACAUGCAAGUCGAACGGAAAGGCCUGCUUUCCCUUAUGGAUUGCGGGUACUCGAGUGGCGAACGGGUGAGUAACACGUGAGUGAUCUGCCCCCAACUUGGGUAUAAGCCUGGGAAACUGGGUCUAAUUCCCGAUAGGACUGCAGGGUGGUGCCUGUGGUGGAAAACGAUUUUCUAGUGGUUGGGGAUGAGCUCGCGGCCUAUCAGCUUGUUGGUGGGGUAAUGGCCUACCAAGGCGGCGACGGGUAGCCGGCCUGAGAGGGUGGACGGCCACAUUGGGACUGAGAUACGGCCCAGACUCCUACGGGAGGCAGCAGUGGGGAAUAUUGCACAAUGGGCGGAAGCCUGAUGCAGCGACGCCGCGUGGGGGAUGACGGCCUUCGGGUUGUAAACUCCUUUCGACCGCGAGGAAGCCACCUGGUUGGAAGGGUGGUGACGGUAGUGGUAGAAGAAGCACCGGCUAACUACGUG
rnacentral:rRNA from 1 species